rnacentral:tRNA from 1 species
GGAGAGAUGGCAGAGCGGCCGAUUGCACCGGUCUUGAAAACCGGAGUACCCGCAAGGGUACCCAGGGUUCGAAUCCCUGUCUCUCCG